ensembl:lncRNA
GUGCUUAAAAGAUUGGUUGAGUAAAUUACAACACUUAGCCGAGCUUUCCUCUGACUGCCACAAUCCUCAGCACGUGCAAGGUCAGAUCUUCACUGCAGAGGAAACCCAUUUAGCAACAUGCUAAUUUCCUUCAAGGAAAGAGAUUACUGAUCACAGUAGAUUUCUACAGCAGGCGCUGGCCACCUGUGCCUGGUCUCAACAGCACAAGAUCUCAUGCACAGGAAGGAAUCAAUGAUUACUGUGUGAUUGCACACCACAUGUGGUUGCUGACACAGCUUCUCCCUCUCGUGGGGCAACCUUUUGGCAGAAGAGCUCCUGAGGAAUGUCCUAGGCUCACCUCUGAGGAAGAGAGGUUGCUGACCUGAGGCACUGCAAUAGAGACUGAAAACAGAUGGAGGUGAAUGAAUUACCUUUUUUUUUCCCCCAGGAGCUUAAAAUGAACAAUAGAGCCUUUCCCCCUCCUCCUACUUCAUCAUUUUUUUUAAUAACCACUCUCAACUGAAGGUUUUAAGAAUGUUUUUAUAGUUAUUUUACAUAUUUCAAAAUAACAUUUAUUAGCUCAAUACCUCUAAUUAUGCAUGACGAUGAGUCACAUGUUGAAUGUGCUCCUACAUUUUCUUCAUUUGAAUCUGUGUAUGUACUUACCUAAUUUGGCAGCAGUGGCAUGGCUAGAUGUUAAAUGAAAUUCAUCCUGC